GGGGGCUAGCGUUGCUCGGAAUCACUGGGCUUAAAGGGCGCGUAGGCGGGUGCUCAAGUCUGUGGUGAAAUCCUCCGGCUCAACCGGAGAACUGCCAUGGAUACUGGGUGUCUCGAGGGUGGUAGGGGUAUGCGGAACUAUCGGUGGAGCGGUGAAAUGCGUUGAUAUCGAUAGGAACUCCGGUGGCGAAGGCGGCAUACUGGACCACUUCUGACGCUGAGGCGCGAAAGCCAGGGGAGCAAACGGG
rnacentral:rRNA from 1 species